AUGGUAGCAGCUCAAAACAUGCCUGAGAGGGGCUCUUCUGAAAUGCCUUUGAUACCCAGUAAGAAGGCAGUGCACUGAAAUCAGCAGCUGAGGAUUCUCCGUACAGUAUCAUUUUCUUGGGAAAAAAAAAAAAAAAAAGUCUUAGAACUACAGUAAGUUCCCCAAGAUUCUGAAUUUUCACUGCCAGGCUCUACUUAACAUGUACCCCUGACAUUAGGUCCUGCAAACACUAUUAUACUCUUUUGCAGACUCAGACAAAUUAUUCUUGAGCUACUGCAUGUCUCCUUUGAAUUGCAAGGGAAAUGGCCCAAGAAGCAGCUUCCCUACUUCAGACAUCCACAUCCAAGCUGAAGAGACAAGGAGGCAGACAAUGAAAACCAAGAAGAAAAGGUUGUGGCACUCGGGAUGUGGGAUCGGAGAAAGGCUGAUGCUUCAUCCUGGAAGUCUCACUAUUUUUAUAAACCAUACAAUUCAUUUUUCCUAAUGGAUGACCAAUUUGACCUCUAGCCAUAACAAAGCCCUUUUCUUCUGGAGAACUGAAUCCACUACUUAAGCCCUACUGUUGUGAGUUGAAGCAGAAUAGCUAGAUUUUCAGGGACCUAGCAACGAAGUUGCUUGAAUGAGGGUGCCUGAUGAAAUCAGUAAGUUGCCUUUCCAGAGGACUGUGAGUGUGGAUGAACGCAGAUGAACCCACAUGAAAGCUUACUGAUGUUCUUCCAUAGUAGAAAUCACAAGUACUGGUCAACACAAAAACAUAAAAAGCAAUAAAAAUUGUUCAGCAAGCUUUUUCA
rnacentral:lncRNA from 1 species